UACAGAGGGGGCAAGCGUUGUUCGGAAUUACUGGGCGUAAAGGGCGCGUAGGCGGCCUGUUAAGUCGAACGUGAAAUCCCCAGGCUCAACCUGGGAACUGCGUCCGAUACUGGCAGGCUUGAAUCCGGGAGAGGGAUGCGGAAUUCCAGGUGUAGCGGUGAAAUGCGUAGAUAUCAGAAGGAACGCCGGUGGCGAAAGCGGCUCUCUGGUUCGUUUCUGACGCUGAGGCGCGAAAGCUUGGGUAGCAAACGGG
rnacentral:rRNA from 1 species